GUUUUGUUCCCAAUUCUAAGGAGGGGCAUGGUGUCCACACUUCAGUCUUCAUUCUUCUUGAGUUUCAUGUGAGCUGGCCAUUUCUAACCAUACAUUUAGUUGUCCCAACCAAAUUCCAUACAGGCAUCUUCUCUGGCCAACUGACCCUUUCUGCUCCUCUCCCUGGAAGUGCCCCCCCCCGCCCCCGCCCAAUCCUUACAUAUCCGAACUUCACCCAUCCUUAAAGAAAGGCUUCAAGGAGUGUUCAAACCCCAGCCUUUCCUGUGUCCUUGGAUGUAUUCCCAGCUCCUAGUCUGCAAGAACAUCCUUCAGACCCCCCUCCCAAUGUCAUUUUCCUCCAGUUGUUCCUUCCCACGUCUGUGAGCAGUGCUGCUGUCAUAAAGAAGAGAAGCAGCCUCUCUAUACAGCAGGUCCCUUCUGAAGUCAUUGGUGAUUUCUCUAGUCUGAGAGCUCCCCUGUGGAUGGAGACUGUCCUCUCUUCCCCAUCCAGUAGCAUCCUACAGCCCUGCAUAUCUGUGAUGGAUCCUGUUAAUUGUCAACUUGAAAGAAUCCACAGUCGCCUGUGAGAAGGGCCUCUGGGCGUGCCCUAUAGGGGAUUAUCUUGAUUACAAGAAUUGAUGUGGGAAGACCCGCCCACAUGAGAAGCACUGUUCCCUAGGCUGGAGAAUAGUAUUUCACCACAGCCAUGGGAAAGAAGGUAAGCCAGCAGGGAGCCAAGCACUUUUUCAAUGGACUUCUACAUUAGUGUCCCCCCACCCCCAGGCACAUCUUGUGAGUACUUCAAACAAGUAAGCAUCCCAGAUCCUCCUCAUGCUUUUCCUCACUUCAUCCGGACCUGACCAGAGCCAGGUUACUGAAAAUACUGGGGCUCCCAGAAAAACAAGAAAUUUGGAAGAGACUUCCAGUCUUCUUUCCUAGACAUGUCUGUGACAAGCAUCAUGGACCCUUGGCUGAUUGGGACUCAGAUCUCAAGCCAGUACCCCAGGAUGGAAGGUUGACCUCACCCGCUAUGGGGCCAAGGCUCACCGGAAGCAGUAAUUGGUGUCCAGGGCCCUCUUCUUCCUCUGACUGCCCUGGCCUGGGCUGUCCAGUCGGUGUGGGGGGAUCAUCAUGAGGAUCAGGUGUGGGUUGUGGUGAUCCUUUUGCUUCUUGAGACGCCCCAGGUCUCCACGGCCAUGGUCAUCUUCAUUGUCCACUCCUGCAAAGGGAAGCGAGGCCACAACCUCCUGUUUAAACGCAAGCAGUACCCUUGCAGAUUGCUUCCACCUCAUUUUAGCCCAUCACUGCCUGGUCAAGAUGAGGGACAGUACAGUCUGUGAGGAAGGAAGGCACAGGGCAAGUCUCAUCCCCACCCCUAAGAAGGCACAGACUGAGGGGAGCAACCAAUGUCAGAAGCACUCAGUAGGUACCAUGGAUACCCUUCUAGACAACCAAUCAGAUGCCUGCACAACUCCUGCACAAGACCUCAUCACCUUCCUGGGAUGGAUGUAUCCUGGGCUCCCUCAUGAAGUCAUGAGUAUCCCCAGCACUAGAUGGGUACCUGUCAGAUACUUUGGGGCUGCCAAUUCAGGGUUCAGGCUUGGGUUUCCUGAUAGAAUCUGAAUUAGUCACGAUAUUACAGAAGUCCUAACAAUGUAAGGUGUUGCAGUUUGCCAUAGCCUAUGUGGGAGCCAAAACAGCUAGACGUCAGAACUAUUGCCGUUCCUACCAGGCUUAGGGCCUCAGAGGUGUCCUCACUGGGAAAUUCAGAGGAGGCAAUAGAACAUGAGACAAGCUUGGUAAGAGAGCCCAGAUUCCACUGAAAAGAAGACCAGAGCCUGACCCAGAAGGCUUUGUUCUAGCUGGGAAUCUCCUUUGUAAAGGACAACCAUUGGCUACUAUCUUUACCAGGGCAAGAACGCUUGGAAUCUAAUUUAGUUACAUGAGGAACUUGGCUCUUAGGAAGGGACUUUUGGGUGUAUAUGAUAAAUAGAAGCCCUAGGUGUGUGGUGCCCUUUUUUGAAGUCUUUAUGCACAAGGGACAAAAUUGGGGUGGUGGUAAGGUAACACCUUAGCCUAACCUGUAUGUGAGGAUGUGGAUAGGCACAGUAACUAGGUUGUUAAACUCUUAGCUUUAAAAAUUUAAUAUGGAAAAAGCCAAACCCAUGCAGAGUAAGGGAUGGCUUAGACCCAGGCCCAAGGUCUAUGCUAGGUCAAGAGCAUCCGUCCAAUCUCUUCAAAUAAUCCCAUAGUCACCCCACUUCUCAGGUGCCCAAAGUGGAGACAGAAAAGGAAAAGAGAGCUUCCCUAAUCCCCAGGAAGCUGCAUUUAUGUUAGAAACCGAGAAAAGACUCAACCUCCAGCACCAAUUCUAGACAAAUGGCCAUGGUCAAACACACAAUCUAGGAAGCAACCAUCCUAACCAAGACAAUUCCUCAGCAAGGGUCAGGAAGGUAGGUCCAACAACAUCUGAAGCUCGGUAGCCAGGACACUCAUGUGCAGGCCCACUGGAGUUCAUUUCUUUGAGGAGAGGGGAAGGCAGCUGUCAUUUAACUGAGCAAUCUAUUAUCUCAUUUGUCAACUGAGCUUCUGAAAGAGGCAACACUUGGCCUAGUUCCCUGGACACCUGGCCUGCGGGGUUUCUCUCCUCCUCAGAAUCCUGCUGUCUCUUAGAUGCUAGAGGGUUCUCUUCAAGUGGAAUGCUUCUGCUCAGCGCUUUGAGGACAAAACAAAGUCACCCAAGUGUGGAACAGUCAGCCACCUCUACAGAGGAAACUGGUUCCUUUUCUUGGGCUUGUAAUUAUCCGUUCCCGCAUCCUGCCACACCUCAGUAUCAGUACCUUUGAAUUUGAUUUCCAUCACCUCAUGAACAUUUUCCAGUAUGUCUCCAUUGGGCUGAAAGGUGUGACAUGGACAGUGGAUGCUGAUUUCCAGACCCAAGUUGGACUCUGCAAAAUAAGACCCAGAGUCAGGGGGGAAAUACUGAGUGGCAAGGCAGUGUAGUAUGUCCAGCACCCGGGCGAGGGUGGAAGUGAGUUAUAUUCAGAGUCAUGGGCAACAGGAAGAACUCACAAAACUCAGAGUGAGCUUCCUGGACAGGGUGUCACACUCCACAUAUUUCCAUUAUAUUAUGAACAACAAGGUAAAUAGUGGGCAUUGUGGAGGGUGAAAGUAGCCAUCCAUUUUCAAUGGAUGAUAGGAAGAGAUUGUCACCUCUGUACAUGGGGCAAAAGGGCGAAGACACAAGACGGGAAGGAACUGCUCACAUCACCUCCAUGUCCUGCUGAAUAGGAUGAGAGAAGAGGCAGGGAUGAGGGGACAUGGAGGGAUGUGCUAAAGGAAAAACUGAGAAACCUCUGAGCAACAAGGAGUGUUAAAGAACACAAAAUGGCAGACUGAGUGACAGGGGUCAGAGGAGGGAGUCAGAAAUCAAUGCCUGAAGUCAUGCUACCUACAGGUCUGAGUCCAUAAACGACAUUAGCAUUUCCACCAUCACCAUGGAGACUGAGAAAGUGAUUGAUUAUUCCAGAGGAGGUAAAGGGCAUGUUAUGGUUAUAUGUGGUUAUAUAUGGUCAUAGUUUCUCUAAGGAACAAGAUGCCAUGAGGUAAAAAUGACAUGGACGUCUCUUUGAAAAGCCUGUCACCAUGAUGGGAGGUUGGUUGUGUGGAUGGCUCCCAAGGUGAGCAGCAUGGGAAAGCAGGUAUGAGCACGGAGUAGUCGGUCUAUCACCGGUGGCCCCAGAGAGCAAUGCUCAAGGGAUCAACAGCAUGGGCUCAGAUGAGAUGAGCUUGGGGAAACCCAGAGGUGCCAACGUUUGUUGUCAGACACUGAGUGCCAAAAGGUCAACUCAGGCCUUUCCUCCUCUUGGCUGUGUUCUGGUAUUUUGGCAAACAAAAUCAAGGCAGCACAGACAGUGGUGGGAAGGGUUGAGUGAAGUAAAGAGAAAAAGGAAAAACAAAAGGAAGUGAAGGUUGGGUCAGGAGUUCAGUCUUUACAGGGGUGUGCAAGCAAUAGAGCAGAGUUCAAUUCCCAGAACCCACAGGAAGAGCCAGGCAUGCUAACACAUGCUUGCAAUCCCAGAACUGGGGAGCCAGAGCUUGGAGGAUCUCCAAGGCACUCUAGGCAGCUGUUUCAGCCAAUCAGUGAGCCCCAGAUCCCAAAGAAAGACUGUAUUGCAAAACAAAAACAAAACAAACAAACAAAACCAAAGUAGAUGACUGUGAUCUCUGGCCUUCAUAUGUAUGUGCACACACACAUACACAGGCGUACACACACAUGCACACAAAGUAACUGAAAAGUUCAACAGAAUCAAAUAGUUCCAGAGAAAACCAGGUUGGGUCGGAUACAAUCAAUCCUGGUGGAUUCAGGGUGGAUCCUCUGUUGAUCCCAGGGUGGAGGCUAGCUACAGUUGGCAUAGGAGAGAUCACAAGACCUUUCUAGGUUAACAUUUCAGUGACAUGAUUGGUUUCCUGGAGUCACCUUAGUGGUUGAUUAUCUCGCCUCAAGACCAACCUGAUGUUUCCCUAAAAUCUAUUGUCAUCAGGGAACACUCCAAAAUUCACCUGCUUUGGCAACCCUUCUCCAAGACAAACUGGUCCAGGCAUGGUGACCCAAAACAACAUGGUGUAAGCCUGGCAUCCCAAGGGUGCAGAUGCCAUGAACUCAGACAAACUACCUCACCCCCUUCAUAAACUCCAAAGUCCAACCAGAUUGCUGUCCCAAGGAGAACUUCAAUAGCACUAGUUAAGCUUGGUAAUCUCUGUCCCCGAAGGUCAGCUCACCAGGGAAACAAGUCAACAGAACGAGGCAGCUGAGCCUCACCUAGAGAAGCUGUGGCCAAGCACAAAGGCCUCUACCUGGUGUUAGAUAGCUGGUAGAAGCCACAGUAGCUGCAAUGAGCAACACACAGCAUUUUCUGUUCAAGGCUCUCCAAGGUAGGGUGAAAGUGCACUGGAAUAAGCAAGUUCUAUGAUUCUGUGUGUUAGAAAGUGAAGGUGGGGCUGGUGAGAUGGCUCAGUGGGUAAGAGCACCCGACUGCUCUUCCGAAGGUCAGGAGUUCAAAUCCCAGCAACCACAUGGUGGCUCACAACCAUCCGUAACGAGAUCUGACUCCCUCUUCUGGAGUGUCUGAAGACAGCUACAGUGUAUUACAUAUAAUAAAUAAAUAAAUCUUAAAAAAAAAAGAAAGUGAAGGUGUGUUGGAGAAAGGAAAGGUCAAAGAGCACGUGGCCAACACGAGAUGGUAGCCUAACGGUCUACGACUUCCGAGAAGAUGACAAUUACCAACAUUUGCUGACGUUCCUAUCAAACUGCUGUGGGAUUUGGCCGGCAACACAGUUCCUUUAGUCUCUGUAAUAAUCCUACUAACUAAAAGCAUCACUGAGAUCACUGAGGUUAGAGCUAUUAAGUAGUUUACCCAAGAUACCAGGUCAGUAAGUAGUUAUUUCAAGAUCCAGAUAGAGAGCCUCUGGGUUCUGAUAAGAGAUCCCACACUAUACAUUUUGUUUGUUUUAAGCAAGGGCUCACUAUAUACCUCAGACUAGCCUGGAACUCAUGGUCCCCCUGCCUCAGUUUAGUGCCGGAAUUACAGGUGUGUGCCCCGACUCCCAUCUGAGAUACUGCACACCUAGUUGUCAAGGACAAGGAACAGGCACCAAAAGACACCAUAGACAAAGCUCUACAAUCAUCGAGAUGCAAAAUGCCCGUGCUUUCUUACCAUGCCAGCUGACCUACAUCAUGACACUAUGGUACAUCCUACCAGCCUCGUCUACAGAGAGGCUGUAGGCUAUAUGGGUACCAGCGGAGUGGGUGGAAGGACCUGGGUCCUCCAUCCUGGAGAGAACGCUGGAGCGCAGCCUAGGUACCUGGAGCACACAAACUCACAGAUGCUUCCUGACUCCUAAACCACAGGUGUGACUCAGUCCUCGUCAAUCCACACCGCCAGCUGCUCCAGCUCGGAAUCCGUUUGCUGCCUGGUUUGGGGCCAUGAACUCCGAGGAGAUUUGUGAACAAAGGCCUCAGCUACUUCCCCCGAGGGAAGGGAGGGGUGGGCAGAAUUUGCCUAAGUGUGAACUGAAGGUUCCAAUGAAAAACAAACCUCAGGGUUGGCAGCAGCGGGGUGGUGGGUGGGGGACCCACAGAUUCUAUUAUGAAAUUAUCUUUUCGGAUGGCUCAAGGAGGCUGGAAAGCACUUCUCCACAAACUUCUCAUGGAGCUCUGCAGCUGUGAACAGAAGCCCUCCAAGUGCCCAGGGCUUCAAAGAAAUCCAGGUGGCGAUGAUUAAAAUCAGACAGGGAAACUAAAAGAUGAAUUCCACCCAGCCCCUUUUUCUGGGCCCAAGCUAAGCACCAAGUGGAAAGCCGCCUGCAUCGGGGUUGCUUUGUUAACACCAUUGGCUGAGUCCUGUUGUUGGUCAUAGGCUGUGUUACCUACCUUCCUAAAAUGGCCAGAACAGGGUCUCCAACCUACCCUGUGUCAACUCAGUUACCAAACAAGCUCCCAUAGAUUGGAGCUUAAAGACUUGACUACCUACAGAGUCUGGGAAUUCAUGGAGGUGAGGGAGUCACUACCGGGAGCACGGGGUGGGGGUGGGGGGAUGGGGAAGACAGUGCACAGCACAUUUUAAAGGGUGGCUACUGGUCAUCUCUGCUAUACUGUUGGGGCUAAUCUUCUAAUUAUUAGUCAAGAAGAAUAUGGACUCUUUGGUUUGGUUAUGUUGCUGUUAUUGAGACAGAGUCUCUACAUAGUCAUGGCUCUCCUGGAACUCACUAUGUAGACCAGGCCUCAAACUCACAGAGAUAUGUCUUGUUCCUGCCUCCAGAGUGCUGGGAUUAAAUGUGUGCACCACCACAGCCAGCCCAGUUUUAUGAAAAAUCGCCCAGCUUUUAAUACAAAACAAACAAAAGAGAGUUAAAUGCAAAGGCAGGUAGCUUGUGACCUCUGCCUUUAAACCCCUUAUCCUGAAACACGAAGGACAUCUGCCCAUCAGUAUGUAGCUGGACCAGCUGGAUAAGAGCUGAUGGUAGUGGAAAACUCUUGGUGGGCAGAGGAGAGACCCUGUAUGUAAGGCUCCUACUUCCACCUUCACCACUAUCGCCAUUAAGCUGUCAGAGCAAGAAGCACCAAGAUGGUGUCAUGAGACACCAGACUGAGUUCUUAGGGGACAAAAGUUCUAAUCCAGACCAGAGAAGCUCAGACUUUUCCACUCUGGUUCUCAGCUUCCUUAUCUGACAACAGGAGAGUUUAUUCUUACAAGGCACAUUGAAAUCCACAAAGUUCUCUCAAAUACACGUGACCCUUAAAACAAACAGCUCUGGGAGGCCUGCAGGGUGGAAGCAUGACUUCAUUUCCAGGUGAGUGGAUAUGAUAUUUAGGACAGGUGGCAUUUGAUGGAAGUGCUAUAGAGUUCAAUGACCCCAGGCAUUUGAAAUUCAAUUAGGCCGCACAGAACCUGCCCCGAAUCUCCUCCUCUUGUAGUCUUCCCUCUUCCAGCAGCUGGUGAUACCACCUGGCUGCUCCAUCCAGAGUCUUUAUGUCAUUGGAGCUUGCUCUUGUACCUUAACACCACACCUACUCCUGGUCUAUUGACUCAACCCCCAGAUUACAGAAUGAAUCCAGACGAUUUCUGUAUCCAUUGCACUGCCCACAUCCAGGUCCCCUGCCAUCCUCGCUAGGCUGCUACAAGGCUCCCUAAAUGUUUUCCUUGCCUUUUCCCUUCACUUUCCCUGAAACCGGAGGACUUUUGUUAAAGGCCACAGUCUCACACUCACAUGCCCACCUUGCUUAUAGCAUUCAGAACACUCGGAUCAAGUCUUCAAACCUUUUUAUGGUCUGACACAUAGUUGACCAGAUGGCCUCAGCUCAUAGUCUUCCAGACUGUUCACUGCUGCUACAGCAAAUCAAACUGGGUUCUGCCCAGGGGCCUGGGUCUUACUGUUUCUUUUGCUUAGGUCACCCUUUAGCCUAGCCUCCUGGCCUUAAAGGGCCAGCUCCUUCUCAUCACCUGGACUCACUGUCAGGCUCCCUUCCCCACAGUGUAGUCUUGUAAGUCCUUUAAGUAGCCAGUGUUAAAGUUCCCAGGCAUCAUUGCCUGGAUUCUUUAGUUUUCAGUGCAUUGUCUGACUCUCCUUUCUAUGUCUCUGCCACCAGAAUGAAAACCCCCUGAGAUCUGAGCUCACCUGUCUUGUUUGCUGCUGGAUUCCCAGAGUCUGACUCAGCACCGGCAUUUAAGGAUAGAGUAGAGAACAGAGGUAAAGCAACAGAGCUGAACCCAGAUGUGUGGUUCCCCCUAGUUCUCUCCUCUUUCCUUUCAUGAGGCAGAAGGAACCUGGGACUCCUGAAGCGUUCCUGCUAAGAGUUUACCUACCUCUCCUCAACAGCCACUCGCGCACAGUGUCAGUGACAUCGAAAGACAGCCAUUCAGCGGUGCCCCUUGUGGGCAGAUUCUUGCCACCUAUGUAGCGCUGCUUGGCUAUGUGCUCAUCCGGUCGAAGUAUCUGUGGGGCAGAGGAGAGAGUGUGUUAUCUAAGGCUGGGACGGAGUACCAGGGAUGGGUUACAAUGCCAGCUUGGUGAGACAAGCAAGGGGAGACCAAAGGCUUCUGAACACCAUACUUUCUGCACACCUCGGGUAAUGCAGCCCUCUUAAUGACAGAGGCUGGGGGGAGUCAGCUUCAGACUGGGGUCUGUCAAACCCCACACUCAGCGGAGGCCAGACCUGGAAGAGGAACUGGCACCUACUUUAUGGUUUCCAGCCAGAAGGAAUACCUGGAAGAGCUCAAUUCUCUGCUCUGUGCGCUUGGAGCUGGGGUUGGGCACCCGCAAGACCCGGAACUCUGCCCGGAACAGAUUGGUUCCAUUUUUCUCCACUGAGGACACAUUGAAACGAAAAACCUUAGAGGUAAUUCCUUUGGGGCAGACGGCCAGUUCAUCUAGAAAGAAAAGCAAUGGGGAGAGGAAUGGUGAGUGAGGACCCCCCAGAAAUGGUAUGGACCAGCAGCCCCACACUAAGUGGCCCCAGUCCCGUCUAUGACCUUCCUAGAGGUUUAAGGCCUCAGACCUGAAGGUGGAGAUGCAAGGAAGAUUCUUGGUGACCCCAGAGUCAUAGAGAGUCCCAAAUAAGGAGCAGGGAGACCUUGGAGCCCCAGGACACAUAACUGGGACUGAGCCAGUCAAGUGUAAUUGUCCCCUUUGGCCACUUUUACACAUAAAAUCUUACAUUUAUUGUA